rnacentral:rRNA from 1 species
CUAGUAAUGGCAGGUCAGCAUACUGCCGUGAAUACGUUCCCGGGCCUUGUACACACCGCCCGUCACACCAUGAGAGUUGGGGAUACCCAAAGCCCGUGAGCCAACUUUAAAAGAGGCAGCGGUCUAAGGUAGAAUCAAUGAUUGGGGUGAAGUCGUAACAAGGUACC